ACUAUUGCUACCGCCCGUAAGGGUGGUGAGUACACUGUGGAGACCGCUGGCGCUAAGUCAGAGGAAGGAUUGGUCGACGGUAGGUCAGUAUGCCCCGAAUAUCCCGGGCUACACGCGGGCUACAAUGGAUAUGACAAUGGGUAACUACACCGAAAGGUGGCGUCAAUCUCUUAAACAUAUCCUUAGUUCGGAUCGAGGGCUGUAACUCGCCCUCGUGAAGAUGGAAUCCGUAGUAAUCGCAUUUCAAAACAGUGCGGUGAAUACGUCCCUGCGCCUUGCACACACAAGUUACCGCCCUCGCUCCGUGCAAAGAAUAUGUUUAUGAGAUUGACGCCACCUUUCGGUG
rnacentral:rRNA from 1 species